CCCAGCUGUAGGCAGCUGCCUAGGCUGCCUCGUACCUAGGCAAUAUUACACUGUUGGGAGAAAAGCAGCCAAUAGCUGGCUGGCAUUCUGGGCCUAGUUCAUACCAACUGUGUUAACUACACCAGUUUUGCCAGCAUAAU
ensembl:snoRNA SNORA74 Small nucleolar RNA SNORA74